CGGGGUGAGUAACGCGUGGGCAACCUGCCCUGCACUGGGGGAUAACACUUAGAAAUAGGUGCUAAUACCGCAUAAUAAAAUAUAUUGCAUGAUAUAUUUUUGAAAGCUGCGGCGGUGCAGGAUGGGCCCGCGUCUGAUUAGCCAGUUGGCGGGGUAACGGCCCACCAAAGCGACGAUCAGUAGCCGGCCUGAGAGGGUGGACGGCCACAUUGGGACUGAGACACGGCCCAAACUCCUACGGAAGGCAGCAG
rnacentral:rRNA from 1 species